rnacentral:rRNA from 1 species
GCAGCAGCCACGGGAAUACGUAGGUGGCAAGCGUUGUCCGGAAUUAUUGGGCGUAAAGCGCGCGCAGGUGGUUUAAUAAGUCUGAUGUGAAAGCCCACGGCUCAACCGUGGAGGGUCAUUGGAAACUGUUAAACUUGAGUGCAGGAGAGAAAAGUGGAAUUCCUAGUGUAGCGGUGAAAUGCGUAGAGAUUAGGAGGAACACCAGUGGCGAAGGCGGCUUUUUGGCCUGUAACUGACACUGAGGCGCGAAAGCGUGGGGAGCAAACAGGAUUAGAUACCCCUGUAGUCCCUGUCUCUUAUAC